UUUACAGGCUUAACACAUGCAAGUCGAGGGGCAGCAUGGUCUUAGCUUGCUAAGGCCGAUGGCGACCGGCGCACGGGUGAGUAACACGUAUCCAACCUGCCGUCUACUCUUGGACAGCCUUCUGAAAGGAAGAUUAAUACAAGAUGGCAUCAUGAGUCCGCAUGUUCACAUGAUUAAAGGUAUUCCGGUAGACGAUGGGGAUGCGUUCCAUUAGAUAGUAGGCGGGGUAACGGCCCACCUAGUCUUCGAUGGAUAGGGGUUCUGAGAGGAAGGUCCCCCACAUUGGAACUGAGACACGGUCCAAACUCCUACGGGAGGCAGCAGUGGGGAAUAUUGGUCAAUGGGCGAGAGCCUGAACCAGCCAAGUAGCGUGAAGGAUGACUGCCCUAUGGGUUGUAAACUUCUUUUAUAAAGGAAUAAAGUCGGGUAUGGAUACCCGUUUGCAUGUACUUUAUGAAUAAGGAUCGGCUAACUCCGUGCCAGCAGCCGCGGUAAUACGGAGGAUCCGAGCGUUAUCCGGAUUUAUUGGGUUUAAAGGGAGCGUAGAUGGAUGUUUAAGUCAGUUGUGAAAGUUUGCGGCUCAACCGUAAAAUUGCAGUUGAUACUGGAUAUCUUGAGUGCAGUUGAGGCAGGCGGAAUUCGUGGUGUAGCGGUGAAAUGCUUAGAUACCACGAAGAACUCCGAUUGCGAAGGCAGCCUGCUAAGCUGCAACUGACCUUGAGGCUCGAAAGUGUGGGUAUCAAACAGGAUUAGAUACCCUGGUAGUCCACACGGUAAACGAUGAAUACUCGCUGUUUGCGAUAUACUGCAAGCGGCCAAGCGAAAGCGUUAAGUAUUCCACCUGGGGAGUACGCCGGCAACGGUGAACUCAAAGGGAAUUGACGGGGGGCCCGCACAAGCGGAGGAACAUG
rnacentral:rRNA from 1 species